CCUGGACUACAGCUCUGCUCUGUGCAACUGAUUACUCUAUUGACAAAAUCAUAAAACGGAAAAGCUGAAGAAAUACAUAUAACACCAAAAUCUUGUCCCUAGCUCCAAGAAACAGAUGCAUGACGCAAAGCUAUAUAAAUAUCAUCUCAGUCUCACAGGACCAUUUAUUCUUGUUUCUUGAGUAUAUCUUAGCUCUUGAAAGAAAAAUUACAGCUGAUAGAAUUGAUACGUGCGAAGGAAGAGAAGAAAUAGAUAAGGUGACCUCAUGAAUUUUGUGCUAAAGAAGUUUGUGCCUACAAAUGAAGGAAAUUUCAUUCACACUUGAUUAAUUGGAAUCUGGAGAGCAAGGGCACUGAUGAGGAGAAAAGAUGAAGAUCAAAUUCCUGUGGAAAUAAAAUCCUAAAAACUGGGCUAUCAAUCCAACAGGACAGAUUCCUUAUACAAUAGGUGCCUCUUAAAUUAGGUGCUGUAAAUUAACCAGCUCAACUAAACAUAAGCAGGAUCUUAUCACUGUAAUGCACAAUAACGUCUACAUUAUUAAAAUUCCACUAAAGAAAACUUAGUGUGAGAUAAUGCAGACAUGAAUGAUCAUUUAACAUUAAUCCUGAUGACAGCCAUUUCCACAUUGCUAUUGAAAUUCCCUCCUUCCUACAUUCUCAUUUCCAAAUACAAUACAAACAGCAUGCUCUAAUCAAUCAAAUGUACAUUCACCAUAUUUUUUAUACAAGGCCUUGUAUCUCCGAUAUAUAAGCUGCUGACAAUCAUUUAUCUUUCCUCUUGCUUUGUAGUCUCACUAAAUGAAAGAACAGUUAGAGUAAGUUGUAGUUUCAGCAGUGAUUUUUACAUUUAGAAUUUGUUUAAUGACAAAUUACUGAUGUUAAUAACAGCCAGACCAAAAGAUUGUCAAGUUUAUCCAGCACAGCAACAUCUGACUGUGAUUUUAUUGCUUUGAGAUUUGGUCUAAAUCAGAAUAAACUGCUUUGAUCAGCUCUGCAAAUUGAUUCCAUGCUCCAGGACUGCGUCAUAUGAAGUCAGCAUGAGUUUUCAUUAGAUAUAAGAAAAUAAAUUUUUUACAGUAAGGGUGGUAAAGCAUUGGAACAGUUUGCCCAGAGAGGUGGUGGAUGCCCCAUCCCUGGAGAUACUCCUGGUCGGGCUGAAUGGGGCACUGAGUACCUGAUAGAGCAGUAGGUGUCCCUGCUCACUGCAGUAGAGUUAGACUAGAUGGCCUUAAAGGGUCCCUUCAACUCAAAUGAUUCUAUGAUUGUAUGACCACAUGAUUCUGAACUCUCCUCCAUCCUUAAGUGUAUGGACUGUGUUAGAAUGUUAGUCAUCUCAGGCUAUUUGUAGAUGCUGGGUGUUGGAGAAGUGACAUUUAGCAUAAUUCAGAUCACUUAUGAUGUGACUGGUUUGCUGACAGUGUUUGAGUUCUGUGAUUGUAGAGAUAGUUUAGAAUCGUUUAUCACUUAUGUUCAGGUGGGGUAGACUGGAUAGAAACCUGUUUAUAAAUCUCCAAUAGUUAUAGUGAGGGAGCACAAAAAUCUAUAUUUAGGUUAAGCACAUACAUACAUGGCUUACUUUUCAGAGGGGAAUUAUUGGUAAGAGCAGGCAGUAGUUAACACCACCAAGAGCAGAAAUACACUAGAUCACAUUGGCAAGUUGCCUAGAGAUGUCUUACUUCAGACAUCUUAGGUUGGGAUGAAAUUUCAUUCUUUUGGUAUAAAACAUGUAUGUCUUUAAAGUGUGUAUGUAUGUGGUUGAAGGGACCUUAAAACACUUAGUUACUCUUAUUUCAACAAGUCAAUACGGUGAAACGUGUAAUAUGUCAAGAACAAUAGAGAUUAUAAAUAUUUUAUCAAAAUGUGAGUUAUUUCUAAAUAUUAUCUAUCAAAAUAAUUUUACUGGUCUCCAAAGAGGUCAGGAUAAGGGAGGGCAGAAAUGUUUUUUACUAAAAAUAAGAACAGGGCUUUUUUCUGAAAUCUCCCACGCAGAGUAGUGUAAUGGUAUCACUGCAAAUUUUGCUUAGAAGAUCAUUUGAUAUAAAUGUAGGUUUCUUCGCUUUCCACCCCCCUCUCCCUCCCCCGCCCCCCCCCCCCCCAAAAAAAAAAAAAGCCAGUUUAACAUAGAUACUUCAUGGAAUAAUUUUCUAAAUGCAGACAGCAUUUAAUUCGGUCUCUGUCAGAAGAUGUAUGUGAAGAUUUUAAAAGCUGAGAUUUUAAAUGACGGAGAAAAAAAUAAAACUAACAUUUUUAUCACAAUUAACAGUGACAAUAGAAAAAAGGAGCUAGGAGAAAUGUGUGAAACGGAUUUAAAAUAAAGCACAAGAGGCUCUGAAUGAAAAACAAGUAACGAGCUACAAUGACAAAAAAAGUAGUGAAAAAUGCAACCAUUACGAAUGGAACCAACAACGAGUGUUCAAUCAACUGAUCCAAAUGCAAAUCAAGACAAUUAUCAUUCUUGAAGAGCAAAACAAUGUAGCAAGAAGAAUCCACGGACAAGAAGAAGUUUAAGGGACAUAAUGAAUUCUGGCUGAAAAAGCAAACCACUUGCAUUAACCUCAGAAGAAAUAUUUGGAAUGAGUCAUGGCUCCAUCUGACUUCUCUGCAUACAUGAACCUUUAAUCUUAAAUUCCAAGAGACUUGAUGUAUUUCAGAGCAUACUCUGCUGCACAUGGGACAAAGGAAAGAUCUGCGCUGUUUCCCUUCCAGCACUUUCACCCAGCAGUUCCAAGAGAAGCAGAGGAACUGUAACAAUAAAGACAGUCCCAGAAUUCUGUAGGCUAUCACUCUGUCUUGUUGAAUCACCUGGGAUCAUUUCCC
ensembl:lncRNA